GGGGGGGGGGCAGACUGCGGCUUGAGGGGAAUCCUGGUGUGCCUCCCUCACUUCCCUCUCUUUCCUUCAUUCCACAGACCUACUGCGUGCUGAAUACUUAAUCUCCACACCCUUCAUUUCCUCAACGGACGGGGACGGGACGAGACAACACUGGCCAACCAGGUGUCCAAUACACCCUCGCGCCCAACAAAGGUGCUUCUCCGAACAAGGCAGCCUGACUGCGACCCGUAUAGCUCUCUCGUGGAGCUGUUUCCCGCGAGACGAGGGCGUCUGGCAGCGACUUCCGGCGCCGCCCCAGGAUCCCUUGCGACCGUCUCCAGGCCCCGAGGCGCUGGGUAGGAACCCACGGGCUGGAGGCACCAGUGGUUUGUGGAGGGCUGGAGGCUGGCAGAUGCGCCCAGCUCCAACCACAUGAAAAGUCCCGUGCGCCCCACCUGCCAGCUGCCUUGAGCUGGCUUUUAACUCCACCGCUUGGCCUCCAUGCCCGCCAAGAGCCGGCUUUCGAUGUGGCCUAGUAAUUGCCUCUCACAUUUACGGAGCUCCUCCACCGGAUCGGGUGGCCCACCUACGGGUGCCCACUGUUUUCCUGACCAGGCUCCCAGGCUGGAACGAUGGAUCGGCACCCGGCACCGAGGCUCUGCUGACCGCUCGUCUCUAAUUCUCGCCUGACACAGACAUUCCCUGCCCAGGGAACUGUUUGAUUUAUGUUGAGGUUUCAGUGUGGGGAUUCUGCUGACAGGAACCAGCCAGAACAGGAGUCAGCCAGAGAGAGGAGUGCCAGGAAGAAUGUGGCUGCCGUCCGGGAAGGAGAGGACCCACUGGAAGGAACAGAACCCAGCCGGCUCAGCCCCUGAGGCUCACUCUCUCCAGGGACCUGGCCUCGGGCCCUAGUAGCCCACCUUCUACCACGGUGGGCCAUCACCAGCCCACUUCAGAAAAAGGCCAUUAAACCAGAUACUGCCCACUUCCAAAUAAAAGAGAGCUUCAAAUAAAAGUAAAUGAGAAGCACCAUAGUCCCUACCACCACCCUGACAAGCAAGGCUGAAAAUACAUUUCCUUC